GCCUGGGUGGCUCAAAGGUUGAGCUUCUGACUUGGGCUCAGGGCGUGAUCCUGGAAUCCUGGGAUCGAGUCCCACACUGGGCU
rnacentral:tRNA from 1 species